rnacentral:tRNA from 1 species
AAUUAUAUAGUUUAUUAAAAUAUUAAAUUGCAAAUUUAAAGAAACAAUUUUGUUAUAAUUU